rnacentral:misc_RNA from 1 species
AACACUGUUAACCUGCGGUACCUGCGGAGGGAUCAUCAUUGAAAAACAUUUUUCCCAAGCCUCUGAGGGGGGGGGGGAAUAGGGAAUGUGGGAAGGGAAAAUUUUUCCUUUUCAUUCUUUUCCUCCUUCUUCUUUCUGGCUUGGCAAACAACUUUGAUACCCAAAAAGAGUUUCAUCUUCUUCAUCUUUUAGCUUUCAGCUUGGUUAAUUAAUUAAUUAAUUAGUUAGUUAGGCUGCUGG